rnacentral:rRNA from 1 species
GUGUCAGCAGCCGCGGUAAGACGAACCGUGCGAACGUUGUUCGGAAUCACUGGGCUUAAAGGGCGCGUAGGCGGGCUUGCCGGUCCGGGGUGAAAGCCCCCAGCUCAACUGGGGAAGCGCCUUGGAUACCGCAAGCCUGGAGGGAGGUAGGGGCGUGCGGAACUUCCGGUGGAGCGGUGAAAUGCGUAGAUAUCGGAAGGAACACCGGUGGCGAAAGCGGCGCGCUGGACCUCUUCUGACGCUGAGGCGCGAAAGCCAGGGGAGCAAACGGGAUUAGAAACCCCAGUAGUCC